rfam:Nicotiana sylvestris Nsyl_contig135836, whole genome shotgun sequence.
AGAGACGAGGAAUGCAUAGUAAUCGACGAGAUGCUUCAGGGAAUUGAAAUUAAGCAUAGAUCCAGAGAUUUCCGAAUAGGGCAACCUUUCAAAUUGCUGCUAAAUCCAUAGGCAAGUAAGAGGCAACAUGGUGAACUGAAACAAUUUAGUAGCCAGAGAAAAAGAAAGCAAAAGUGAAUUCCCAUAGUAGCAGCGAGCAAAAUGGGAGCAGUCUAAACAGUGAAAAUGGGAUUUAGGAGAGCAUUACAAGCAACGUGCUGCUAGGCGAAAUACCCUGAAUACUACAUCCUAGAUCGAGGAAGUCCAGUAGCCAUUGCCUAUAAGUAUCACUAGCUUACGCUCUGACCCGAAUAGUAUAGGACACGUGAAAUUCAGUGCGAAUCAGUAAGGACCAUCUUGCAAGGCUAAAUAUUGUCU